GACGAAGGAUGCAAGCGUUAUCCGGAUUCAUUGGGUUUAAAGGGUGCGUAGGCGGACUUGUAAGUCAGUGGUGAAAUCUCUCAGCUUAACUGAGAAACUGCCAUUGAUACUGUAGGACUUGAGUACAGAUGAUGUUGGCGGAAUAUGACAUGUAGCGGUGAAAUGCAUAGAUAUGUCAUAGAACACCGAUUGCGAAGGCAGCUGACAAAACUGUAACUGACGCUGAGGCACGAAAGUGUGGGGAUCAAACAGG
rnacentral:rRNA from 1 species